rnacentral:lncRNA from 1 species
AUUAGAAUGUUUAAAAUAUUUACAAAAUGAUGAAAAUAAACGCAAUAUUACGCUAGACCAACUAGCUUUAUCAAGCGUGCACCUAUCCAGUUGAAAUCGGAUGUAGACGAUAAGAAACUUUUACAGCUCAAUGUAUAUGUUGCACUUAGCUGCCUUGAAAAUAAGAAAAUUAUGCAGCUCAAUGUCUAUGUUGCACUUGAAUUUAGCUGCCUUGAAAAUAAGAAAAUUUUGCAGCUCAAUGUAUAUGUUGCACUUGGAUUUA